GAUGAACGCUAGCUACAGGCUUAACACAUGCAAGUCGAGGGGAAACGGCAUUGAGUGCUUGCACUCUUUGGACGUCGACCGGCGCACGGGUGAGUAACGCGUAUCCAACCUUCCCAUUACUGUGGGAUAACCUGCCGAAAGGCAGACUAAUACCGCAUAGUCUUCGAUGACGGCAUCAGAUUUGAAGUAAAGAUUUAUCGGUAAUGGAUGGGGAUGCGUCUGAUUAGCUUGUUGGCGGGGUAACGGCCCACCAAGGCGACGAUCAGUAGGGGUUCUGAGAGGAAGGUCCCCCACAUUGGAACUGAGACACGGUCCAAACUCCUACGGGAGGCAGCAGUGAGGAAUAUUGGUCAAUGGACGGAAGUCUGAACCAGCCAAGUAGCGUGCAGGAUGACGGCCCUAUGGGUUGUAAACUGCUUUUGUAUGGGGAUAAAGUUAGGGACGUGUCCCUAUUUGCAGGUACCAUACGAAUAAGGACGG
rnacentral:rRNA from 1 species